rnacentral:misc_RNA from 1 species
GAUGAAGAACGCAGCGAAAUGCGAUAAGUAGUGUGAAUUGCAGAAUUCAGUGAAUCAUCGAAUCUUUGAACGCACAUUGCGCCCCUUGGUAUUCCAUGGGGCAUGCCUGUUCGAGCGUCAUUUGUACCUUCAAGCCUUGCUUGGUGUUGGGUGUUUGUCUCGCCUCUGCGCGCAGACUCGCCUCAAAACAAUUGGCAGCCGGCGUAUUGAUUUCGGAGCGCAGUACAUCUCGCGCUUUGCACUCACAACGGCGGCGUCCAAAAGUACAUUUUUACACUCUUAACCUCGGAUCAGGUAGGGAUACCCGCUGAACUUAAGCAUAUCAAUAAGCGGAGGA